ensembl:lncRNA uncharacterized LOC115014334
UGUGUGGGCAACGCUGCCGUGUACUGGAUCUCCUCCCAUCCCCGUUGAUAUGGCUGUUACUAAAGAGGUGUAACUAAAACAACAUUUGUGUACUGAAACCACAUACGUGUGGUGAAAGAGACUUUGAAAAGACACAAGAGGACGGAAAUCAGGAAAAUGUUUUGCCUCAGCUUUGUGCCAAAACAACACAAGACAGCUGCUGAAACUUCUGUGGAUUAUGGAGGAGUGGAGGCAGUAUGACAGCGAAACACCCAUGAGAAGAAGCAUCCUAUGAAAAGAAAAAGAAGAAUAUCUAACCUAACUGAGGAAGUUAAACCGUAAGAGAUGGACCUGUCUUGAUAUCUGCGUUGGGAAAGGAGAUAAUGGAAAAAGAUUGGAAUUUCAAAAAGCAGAGAGAAACAACCAUAACAGGAGUGUCGAGGGGUGACGUGCUUCACACACCGCUAGUUUCUUCUGUUGCGGUCUCCAGUCUGUUAUUAAAGCAACACCAUCCCUAUUUAGUGGAUUAUAUUGUUGUGUUUACAAACACCAAUGCUUUUCUGUGACUUCUGGAUUUGAUACAAAGCAGUUCUGUUCCUAAAUGUCUCAGUCACAUAAUCAGAAAGACAGUCAGGGCAUGCUGCAGUCCAUGCUGCAGAGACUGAAGCUCCAGCCGGGAAAAGAGGGCCAGGCAUACCUGCAAACACCUGUACCCACCACAGCUGCUUCCACAUGGGGGCAAGACGGCAAGAGAGGAGCCUUCAACCUCCAGAAAGUAAACAGCAGUAUUGGAAAUAGCUUUGAGUUUGGAACUAAUGGUAUCUCCUCAAAAGAGUUUGGGAUCUCUGCUGCAAGCAGUAACUUUGGGGAAAUACAGCAACCAGGACAUGGCUGUGAAGUGGACAGUCAGCUCAUUUCCUUCCCCUCGCAGAAAGACAACAUUGAUGGUGAGACGGGUGAGGAAAGGGCAGCUCAGCCUGUGAUCACCCCGACAGAAACAGGGCAGCUGUUUCCUGUUGAAUCACUUAAGGAUGCUGAUAUCGCUUCCUUUAAGAGGACUGAUGGGGCGAGGGUGAGUUUUGACAAUUCUGCAAUGACAAGGCCUAGCAAUAAAGAUUCUGUCCCAAGCAUGGGACAGAAUCAUGACCAGGACCAGAGUUUUACACCCAAAGUCUACGUGUGGUCCUCGAAGCCCACAGAUGCAAAUGUUAAAGGUCAAGAGAAUGAACUGUUGCAUACGGGAAACGGAGGAUUUGGAGCUUUGGCACAAAGUAAAGACUUGCAGAUUGUUCCGGUAAACAGCAGCUCGAGAAGAAAAUCAGGAUCGUCUGAGAACAAAACAAGGAGAUGGACUCAGAAGAUCAAGGAGAGAUGGAACAGGCCAGGGAGUUUUGGUAGAAAGGAAAAAGAAGAAGGAGGGAGAGUAGACCAGAAGAGUGAGCAAGGAACUGACAUUUCACCUCAAAACCAGCUGUUGACAACAGAAAAUCUCAUCAACACAUCAAAUAUGGAGGAAGAAAGGACCCUCCCAUCACUCGACAGCAGAGAUCCCAGUGCCACCCCUCCUACACACACAGAAGACGGCACUAAUGAAGGAUAUAUGAGGUCCACCAGAGACUUUGAGUUCGGCCUGGGCUCGUUUAGCUUGCUGGAGGAGAUCGUCACCGGUCAAGAGUGGGCGAACUUCCUAAACCCCAACCAAUCAGCCGCCUCAGCCAAUCAGAGACCAUCAGAACUCAAAAUCCCACCAAAUCCUCGUGAUGGUCAUUCAUCUCUGAUUUUGAACCAACAAGGAGGUGUUGACAACCGGUGGAGCUUCAGGGGAACUGAGACUUCACCAGAUUUAGAUUUCAGCAUGACACAAAUAUCGCCUGAUGCUUUCCAAGCUGUGGGUAUGGACGUUUCAGAAGGAACACCGGCUGCAGUACGGGAUGUUCUCAGUGCGGCUGAUCAAUUAGAACCAAUGGAGCAUGGACAAACCCGGAGACCUCCUUUUGUACAGUAUGCAGAUAUUAUGGUCAACUCAGCGCUGAAGAGCAGAGUCCAGCUCAACAGGAAGAGACAGCAUCAGUCAGCUGAUAGAAGAGACGAGAGGCUUCAAGCAGACAAAAUAAGUGACGGAAAAGAGGCAGGCAGAGAGGGUAGCCUAACAAGCAACCAUGUGAUGGAGGAGACUGGAGAGUCACAAAAUGAUAACUUCAUGCCUUUGAACAUCCUGAAAUCCCCUCCUCCACCUCUCUCUCCAUUUACUCCCUUUGCUCCUGCCUUCCGGGGUGUUCUCAAACACUCCAUAUCCCAGGAUUCACAGUUCUCAAUAGAAACACAGACAAAAAGAAGGCGAGUCGAGGAGAACCAGCGGGUUCGUUUCUCAGACGAGGUGGUGAUCAUCGAGCCUCCGGAGCUGCAUCCGGAUGCUACAGACUCAGAGGAGGAUUCAGGAUCAGAGGAGGACUCUGUGAUAGAGCAGGAGUGUGACGAGGAGCAGGCGGCGAUAGAGGAGGUGGCAGCACCAGCACGCCGGCAUGCUCUCCCUGCCUGGAUACUGGCUCUGAAGAGGAGGAACACGGGGAGGAGGCACAGAUAGGGAGUGUACAACUCCAAGAACGAGCAUUUAGUCUCACAGACUUGUCUUUCUUCAAAUCGUUUCUAGAGUCCUCUCUGGACACUUAAAGCACCUCUGUGUGUCUUAUUGCUCCUCGUCCCUCUUCGCAUCACCGGCGCUCAAAAGGAUGAUUGAUCAAGUGCUGAUAUCAGCCUAUUUUAAAACUUUGAAAACACAGCCAGAAUUGUAUUUGCUUUUAAGGGAUACUUUGAAUGGUUUGAAGUUUGGUUGUCUGAGGUACUGAGGUCGACACGCCAUCGGUUUGGAGAAACAGACAGGAGUUACGGCACGGAAACAAAGCAAUGUACUGCUGUGGACGGGGGCAGCAGCAAAAUGUAUUUCAGCCCCCUAAAAGAAAGGCCUACGUAAAGAAAACCAAUAUCAGUUUAAGUGUAUGUUGUAUUUAGGAUAUUAUAUAACACAGGGAUCUGAAGUCGUUAUAUUCAUCUCUCGCCAAAGCCACCAGACUACAGUACCGUAUAUUGAAACAAACGGUAAAGUUAAAGGUAAAAUGACUGUUUUUGUCCAUGAGUCUGGUGCCUUUGGCCUAGAUGAAUAUAACGGAUCAGAUCACCGUUGACAAGAGCUUGUAGGUGGACCUUUUUUCUGAGGUGGCUAAAAUACGCUUUGUUGCUGCCUCUGUCUACUUCAGCACAUUUCUUUGCUCCUGUGCCGUAACUCCUGUCUGCUUCCCCAGACUGGGGGCCUGCUGACCUUCGUCUACUGUGGUAAUACACUGACUAUGGAUAAGUACCUCAUACAACACCACUUCAAACUAUCCAAAAUAUCCCUUUAACUGUUUUUUUCCACGCUCUCCUCUCUGUCUGUCUAAAUAGACUGGACUAUACACUGUCAGUGUCUCGUCAUCUGCUUAAGUGUUUAUUGGAUUUGGUUGUAAAUUUUCUUCCACCAGCUUUUACAGCUUUUUUCCAGAGAUGUUAUGUUUUCCUCCUCCUCUUUCUCCUCCUUCAAUCUCACACUGGCCAGCAGCAGACUCUCUUGGUAAUGUUCUCUCUUUCCGGCCGUCCUGGGAAAUUAGGAGGAAAGGGAGGUGGAGCUAAAGCAGUGGCUGCAGUUAUUGCAGUUAUGGUUGUUUGUGAUAGUCUGCAGCUCUUGAAAUGUUGAAACCUUAUUUUGAAGCCAUUUGCUUGCUGGAGACAGAAAGAAACUACCAUCAUCGUUCAGGACUCACAUCAGUCAUCACUUAUAGGAUAGUACACCCUGAACAUAUUAUCAGCAUCUGUUUAAAUGAGCUACAAUGAUGCUUCCUAUGAGUGUAGCAGCGUGGGAGACAGUGGAGCUACGAGACAAACAUUAAAGGAAUAGUUCGACAUUUUGGGAAAUACGCUUGUUUGCUUUCUGUGCUAGAUUAAAAGAUUGAUACCAUUCAUGUCUGUAGUGUAUGCCACUGGCUGGCUGCCUGGUAAGCUACUACUACUACUCUGCUACAUCAACACCCAUACACCUGCACUGUCAUUUUUACACUUUGUUUUUGUAUGCAUUAAACAAUUGAGAUAUAAUAUGAUAUUUUAGCUGUUUUCCCAUUCAGUUUUUGUGCUAAGCUAAACUAACUGGCUAACAGGACUGUAGCUUUAUAUUUACAGUAUAAUAGACUUGAGAAUGGUAUCCUUCUUCUCUUCUACCUUAAAGUUACCAUCCGACCAUCUUGUUAUCCUGGACAGGGGUGCUGGAAAAUGUGUGUGUUUGUCUGUAUUGUCCCCUGGAAAUGAAAAACUAGAGAACAUAUUUAAAAAGGAAACGUCCUCCAGCUACCUCAUUUUCCCAGUUACAUUUAUUAAUUCUUCUAAAUAGGGAUCCUCUGAAGAAAUGACAUUAUCUGCUAUCUCAUGUUUUAUAAAUGCAGAACUCCGUGCACACACACAUCCAGUCAUUUGUUCAUCCUGUCCGAGCUUUGCUUUGCUUUAAAGAGCGACCACAGGCAACAUUCAGAAAGACAGAGUACUUCAUGGCGCUGUGUAUCAUAUUCUUUUGUUACCAUUACAGGCAUUAAAAUGAUUUGUAUGAUUAAAUUAGUACAUCAAACGUUGUGGCUAACUGCUGUCAAUUCCUCCUUCACAGCUAUCUUCUCUCGUAAAUCACUGUCAGAGCCAUUAAGAGGCUCUUUAGCUGAUCGAUUAGUGCCCUGGUCACAGCUUAUAGUGAAACGGGGGGAAGUACUAAAAUGUACAGUAUGUGAGCAAAACAUUAUGUCAAUGUCUGAGAUGAAAACGUGGG